AUUCCAGCUCUCAGGUCCCUGGUGCCUCCUGCUGUCUCUCCCUCACUCUGGCAACUGCCCUCACCUAUACAGUUACCAUCUGUGGAAGUUUCUGGAACACAAUGACACAUAGGCCUCAGGAUUUGGUUUUGCUUUUUCUUCCCAGAUCUUCCUGGAAACAGUUAUUUUGAGACAAGCUUGUGUUUUUUUAAAGAGAAGCUGUGAAAGCAACAGGAAAAAGGAUCCAUUUUUAAAUACAGAGUUUCCCUCCAUGUUUUGUCUGCAGCUUGUGUAGACUUUGGGGUGGGGAGUGCUGGUUGUGAAUUCCAUGGAGACUUGCCAGAGGCUGUUUAAACCUGCUUUGUCUGAAGCUGUUGUAAAGAGCUGCCAGGAGGAAGCGUUAAUGGAAGGGAACUUGGGUGCCCUGCUGUGACAGUUGGUGCUUGGGAAGCUUCCAGCACAGAGCGAAUGAGAAAGAACUCAGGGCUGCACAGCCAGAACAGGAAUCUGCAGGACCGAGGUGACUGACUCAGUUCCUAGAAGCUUUUCAAGGUGAGAAGCCUGAGGCCCCAAGGGCAGAGCAAGGACUAAGGCAGAUUAAAGACAGCUUCAGGUUCUUGGACACAUCUCCCAUUAAGAGUGAAAGCUGCCAAAGUGACACUGUGCCAGUUUCUUGAUUCGGACCUUAAGAGACUGGCCCCUUCCACUUCCUGCUUUGUGAACAUGGAUCCUUGGAACCAGAUACCAUGCUGUGAGGAAGCCCAAGUAGCCCCACAGAGACACAUGGAGAGGAAUGGGGAUCGCUGGUCAAUAGCUCCUGCAGACAGUCAGCAUUUUGUGGCCGACGGGAAAGUGGACCCUCCAGCUGCAGUCAAGUAUGGCCUGCUGGAAACCCAGGGAACAAGAAUGGCAUCUCUGCAGAGCCCUGCCCAAAACACAGAUUUAUGAGCAACUGAAAUGUGUGUCGCUGAUGUUGCUAUUUUAAGCCACUAAGUUUUGGGAUGGUUUGCUAUGCAAUGGUAGAUGAUCAGAACAAGGACCAGUGCUGCUUCCACUCUACUGCUCUGGUGCUCAGUGGUUCUUUCUGGGACACCCUGGCCACUCACCAGUCUCAGUGGUCUGAGAAGUUGGAAAGACUGUGCAUUAUCUGUGAGCACUGUUGGACUGGAUGACUUUAGCAAAAGUUACCAAAUCCCUGGGGCCUGGGGGCAAGGUACAGAGGUUUCUGAGGCUCAUUCCAGCCAUGUAUUCAAUUAGAAUCCCUAGGAGUGAGACCCAGACACUUCUAUUUUUUAAAGCUUCCCAGGUGAUUCUGAUACUCAGGCAGCUUUGGAAACCACUGAUCAUGAGUCAUUUGCAAAUGGAAGAAAUGUCCCUGUAUCACCUACAUUCACAGAUUAUCCUAAACUAGACAUUACUGGAAUUUUCCCAUUUAUGUUAAGAUCCUGGGCAGGAUGAGUUAUAUCUACUCCCUGGUUAAGUCAACCCUGGGACUUCCAAGCCCUCAACAUACUUACCCUACAUUUAACUUGGUGUUAACUUGGGAUCUUCAGUCUAGAUGUCUGUGAUGCUCCUGGGCUCCAAGCUAAUAUGUAUAAAUGAAAGGAAUGUACCCCUUAGUUAUUAGUGUUUUUUUGUCAAAUAUUUGUGGGCCUUGCCUCUUCUCAGCAUGUAAUAGGAUUGCAUUUCCUGAACCCCUGUGAUUGAGUGGAACCAUAUAAAUAAUUAACUCUAGCCAAUGAACAGAAGUGAUGUGUAUCACAUCUGGGCCAGAACAUUUUAUGACAAGUGCAAGACCCUCCAGAAUUCUUUUUCCAUCUGCAUCAUAAAUGACUAUGUUCCCAAUGGUGGUUCUAUUAACAUGCACUUCUGAAUGACAAUAAUGUACAAGACCUCCUUGCUGACCUACAAUAGACAUAUAAUAUAAGUGAGAAAGGAAUUUCUUUUGUUUUAAGUCAUUGAAAUAUGGAGAAUGUUUGCUAUUGUAGCAAAAACUAGCCUAGCCUGACUGAUAGAGCCAGAGAUGGUAGGCUUAUCAUUCAGAAGCCUCCUCUCUCUAUGUGUCUACUGGGAAGGAGCAUGUUCCAUACCAGUUUGAAUGUGUAGGUUUUUCCAUUUUAAAUAUUUAUUAAUCCCAAAGUUCUAUUCCCAUUUUUGCAUGAAUGAAUACUUUUCCCCCUGGUCAACUUAUCAGGAAUCUGUCAGUAUUCUUAGAAUAGCCAGUAAGUGUUGCGUUCGCAACAAGAUGUUAUCAAUUGAAAGGUAAUGGCUUUGUUUGUUCAUCACAUGGGACUCUGAUAACUAGGAAUGCUGGGGCAUAAACUAAUAAAGAAAAUGUUGCUUAAAUGUAUAAAAUACUUUGUGGAAUAUUAUUUUUUAAAGGGCUAUUUUAAAGGGCUAUUAUAUUUUAAAGGGCUUCUGAAAAGCGAGUGGUGUGAGAUAAUCUGUCAGUGAAAAAAGUGUGGAUUUCCUACAUGAAGCAAAGGUGUGCUCUACAGUACGACUUUAUAUUCAGAGGUCAAUUCCCCCCUGCUCUGAAGCAGAGAAUUUGAGAGCCCGGUAUUCAAAGGGAGGAAGUGCAGCAUCGUCUCCUGUAGCACAUGGUGCUUCAUCUGUGCAGCUGUGACUUGUCCUUGAUGGCACCUCUUUCCCUUAGGAGGAGAACACAGCCUGAGUGACUGCUUUCUUUCAUCUUUGCAAAAAUAGUCACCAAUGCUUUGAGGUAUCCUGGGUAGUAGGAUUUGUCACUUUACAAAAAACUAAGUAUUUCCCUACUUGAUCUAUAUUUGAAUUUGGUUUCUGAAUUUGGAAGCUUUAACAUUUUAAUCAAGUAAUAUGUGUUUAUGAUCUGUUAAUAAAUAUUCAAUAUGCAAAUGAUACUACAAUUGUUUUUGCCACCUUCCAUUUUCCAUUCUCCUCCCCAUGGUGGAUUGCUGUUACUAAUUAUAUGUGUGUAAUUUUUGUAUACAAAUUUACGUGCAUGUAUGUACCUAUAAAAUUAUAGUAUUUUUAUUUUGAUUUUUUUA